rnacentral:rRNA from 1 species
GAUGAACGCUAGCGGGAGGCUUAACACAUGCAAGUCGAGGGGCAGCAUAGGGUAGCAAUACUCUGAUGGCGACCGGCAAACGGGUGAGUAACGCGUAUGCAACCUACCCUGUACAGGGGGAUAACCCGGAGAAAUUCGGACUAAUAUCCCGUAAUAAUAUCCGGAGGCAUCUUUGGAUAUUUAAAGUUUCGACCCCGGUAGGGAUGGGCAUGCGUAACAUUAGCUGGUUGGUAAGGUAACGGCUUACCAAGGCUAUGAUGUUUAGGGGUCCUGAGAGGGUGGUCCCCCACACUGGUACUGAGACACGGACCAGACUCCUACGGGAGGCAGCAGUGAGGAAUAUUGGUCAAUGGGCGCAAGCCUGAACCAGCCAUCCCGCGUGCAGGAAGACGGCCCUAUGGGUUGUAAACUGCUUUUCCAGGGAGAGAAACUUACGCACGUGUUGCGUGACUGACGGUACCCUGGGAAUAAGCAUCGGCUAACUCCGUGCCAGCAGCCCGCGGUAAACACGAGAGUA